ACACCCACGCCGAAAGACCAAGGGUUCCUGCGCAACGUUAAUCGACGCAGGGUUAGUCGGUUCCUAAGGCGAGGCUGAAAAGCGUAGUCGAUGGGAAACAGGUUAAUAUUCCUGUACUUCUGGUUACUGCGAUGGAGGGACGGAGAAGGCUAGGCCAGCUUGGCGUUGGUUGUCCAAGUUUAAGGUGGUAGGCUGAAAUCUUAGGUAAA
rnacentral:rRNA from 1 species